GUUCUUUAUCCACCUACCACUUCAAACCAAUCGAACGGAGGAGGAGGGUGUGUGUGGACCUCGUUCUUCGCUUCUUCAUGGGGUUCCUAGUGCCCAGCCAAGCCUCUGUGUCUGUCUGUGCGUCCUGUGAGGUGCAGAGUCCCGCCCCGCCAAACACUGUUUCUUCAGAAGACGACACCAGAGACCUGACACGCUCCGAGGACUAAGGUCAACCGAAGACGUCUGCACAACUACAAGAAAUUUUAAGUUUUAUAAUGGCAAGAAUAAUAGCAAGAGGUGGCAAGGCGUCUAUGCUGCCUCCUCCUCGUCCCCGUUGAUGAUGUUUUUGAAGCCAUACACCAGUACCAAGUCACAUCGAGGAGAAAUGCAGGAAAAGUUGCAUGGUAUACAGAGUGUGCCUGAAGGAGAGUUGCCAUAACCAUACCAGUGGAGACGGAGGGUGUGAAGGAAGGCAGACAGUCCCUCCAUCAGGACCAGGAUGCUCACAGUGAGGACCGCCCAGAAGGAGAAAAUAAGCACCUCAGACAGCUGCCCGUGAGCCAGGGACAGCGCCCAAAGCCGGAGGUAAGAGGCUGUAUGGGAGACGCAGCCCAGCACAAACUCAAUGGUGUGGAUGGCCUGCUCAAUGAACACCUCACUGAACUCAAACUCCU